rnacentral:rRNA from 1 species
GUCGAGCGGUCCAUGGGUUUCGGCCCAUGGGUAGCGGCAGACGGGUGAGUAACACGUGGGUAACCUGUCCUUGGGUGGGGGAUAACUACUCGAAAGGGUGGCUAAUACCGCAUAAGACCACGGCCUUGCGGGGCUGCGGUCAAAGGUGCAAAUCGCCUGAGGAGGGGCCCGCGGCCGAUUAGCUAGUUGGUGGGGUAAUGGCUCACCAAGGCGACGAUCGGUAGCUGGUCUGAGAGGAUGAUCAGCCACACUGGUACUGAGACACGGACCAGACUCCUACGGGAGGCAGCAGUGGGGAAUAUUGCGCAAUGGGCGAAAGCCUGACGCAGCAACGCCGCGUGGGUGAUGAAGGCCUUCGGGUCGUAAAGCCCUGUCAGAUGGGACGAACCACCCCGCAAGGGGCCUGACGGUACCAUCGAAGGAAGCACCGGCUAACUCCGUGCCAGCAGCCGCGGUAAUACGGAGGGUGCAAGCGUUGUUCGGAAUCACUGGGCGUAAAGGGCGCGUAGGCGGCUUCAAUAGUCCGAUGUGAAAGCCCGGGGCUCAACCCCGGAAGUGCAUUGGAAACUGUGAGGCUUGAGUUCGGGAGAGGAAGGCAGAAUUCCCGGUGUAGGGUUGAAAUCCGUAGAUAUCGGGAGGAAAACCGGUGGCGAAGGCGGCCUUCUGGAACGAAACUGACGCUGAGGCGCGAAAGCGUG